rnacentral:rRNA from 1 species
AUUCGUAGGGGGCGAGCGUUGUCCGGAAUGAUUGGGCGUAAAGGGCGCGUAGGCGGCGCGGUAAGUCUGGAGUGAAAGUCCUGCUUUCAAGGUGGGAAUUGCUUUGGAUACUGCAGUGCUAGAGUGCGGAAGAGGUAAGUGGAAUUCCCAGUGUAGCGGUGAAAUGCGUAGAGAUUGGGAGGAACACCAGUGGCGAAGGCGACUUACUGGGCCGUAACUGACGCUGAGGCGCGAAAGCGUGGGGAGCGAACAGGAUUAGAUACCCUGGUAGUCCACGCGGUAAACGAUGAAUGCUAGGUGUUGCGGGUAUCGACCCCUGCAGUGCCGGAGUAAACACAAUAAGCAUUCCGCCUGGGGAGUACGGCCGCAAGGUUGAAACUCAAAUGAAUUGACGGGG